rnacentral:telomerase_RNA from 1 species
GACGCGUCGUUCAAGACGGACCGACCUCUACAUUCCUAACCCUAACCUAGCUGAUUUCUCAAUCAGCGACUUUUGGGUUAACCACAACAGUUUUGAAGCUUGUUUCUGUUGUUUGUACACAGCGAAACGAAAAACUUGCUGGCCGGUGUCAUCGACACACGACGAAAGGGCAWCAAAAUGUCAAGUUGUUUCUGCUGUAAAAAAACGGGAAUCGUGUACUACUGACCUUGCCGUACGUUUUGUGCAUGCGAGUGUUCAGUGGUUCUCAACGGGCAUAAUAUUGAUGUAGAGUAACUUGACGUAAGUUUUCGACUCCCBCCCCUUU